rnacentral:lncRNA from 1 species
CCUUGGGGAAUUUCUUGUCUGCUGCGGUCUUGGCUCCUGGUACCUCCUGGUUACCUUCUUCGCAGAACUGGGAGUGACCUUCAAUGCAUUGAGUCCAACACCCUUAUCUUACAGAUGAGUAAACUGAGGCCCUGUGACCUGCCCACUGUCAGAUAGGCAGCAAGUGUUGGGUCUCGGGAUAAUGGAUUCAGAGUUCGAAUGGACUCCAGCACAGCUCUCUCAUUGAACAGAUCAGGAAACCGAGGCACACAGAGGUUAGUACCUGGCACAGAGUCACACAGCUAGCAAGUGCCUGAGGAAGGGCUUGAAUCCAGGCUUUCCUGACCCUUUCCACCAUGCCACACUGCCUGGGGAUUCAGCACAUCAACAUUUUCCCUAAAAUGUCGUGCUCUGCCUGAGCCCAGCUCUUCAGAUGCAAACUGACCAGGACAGUGGGAUUAUUUCUUUUCUCACUCUGGACCCUAGAAAGUAUUUCUUUCAUUCUUAAAAUACGGAACCAUGUCCAGAAGGCCUGGCCCUCAGUGGUCUCUGGAGUACUUCUCAUAAAGACCAGAGUAUUUCUCAGAUCCCACAGGCAUUUGAAAAGGAGCCUGUUGGUGGAAUGAACUCUCCUAGGAGUGUGGGUGGGGGCAAGGACAUCUGGCCAUUGGGCUCCAGGGCCCUGAGCAGGAUCAGGAGAGGCAGGGCCUGGGAGAGAUUCCCAUCUGCCUGGAAUGGCCCUGCCUGGAGGUGGGGAGAUGGGCCUGAUGAUCUCCUGCAGUCUGUCCAGUCCAAUGAAAACAGCCGAGGCAAGGCGGCCUUUUUCUCGUGGCAGCAGACACUCUUGCAAACUAUGCACACAAGAAUUUCUCAGUGAAGAUGCGGGGAGAAGAGCAACUGGAAACACUCAGGAAAGGGUUAACACAAGGUCCCUGGGGUGCUGUGUGGUCAGGGAUGUUUUGCUGCUGGUGAAAACCUUUCCAGACAAGAUGCUGACUUGUUUAUGUGAGGUAUGUUUGCUUUAUCUACAUUCCUCUGCCGUUUUCAAAAACAGACCCCUUCUUGUCGUUUGGGGACAGCUCUGGGCCGGUGGAACUGGUGGUCACUCGUAG